rnacentral:rRNA from 1 species
UGAAGCGGGCAGCCGACACCACGCCGUCUGGGCGAGUGAUUUUUGCCUCAGAUGAGUAGGAGGACGUGGCGGUCGUAUGGAAGCGUAUGCGCGAGCGUGCGUGGAACGGCCGCCAGUGCAGAUCUUGGUGUUAGUAGCAAAUAUUCAAACGAGAACCUUGAAGGGCGAAGCGGGGAAGGGUUCCACGCGUACAUUGAUUGGGUGUGGGUAAGUCGUUCCUAAGCCGCGUGGCAAUAGCUAAUACAAAUGGCGAAAGGGAAGCAGGUUGACAUUCCUGCACACGGAUGUGGAGGCGGUGACGCACUUUCUGGGGUAAUGAAGCUGGCUGUGGCACUGGGCAGAGUUGUCUUUUCUGUUUAACCGCUCUCUCACUGUGUGGAAUCCGCUUGUCGGGAGAAACACGUGUUGACGGGCAUAGCGCCGGAGUUUUCCCGGCGUCCAGUUCGCUACGGACGGACCUUGAAAAAUUACCUGCUGGCACGGUCGCUUUUAUUUUUUUUAAAACGCAGAUCUGUGUAUGAAAAAUCCACGCCGUAACGUACCGAUAACCGCAUCAGGUCCCCAAGGUGAACAGCCUCUGCUCGAUAUGAUCAAUGCAGGUAAGGGAAGUCGGCAAAAUAGACCCGUAACUUUGGGAAAAGGGUUGGCUCUAGUGCUGUGUGGGACUGGUUGUUGAGGUGUCCGAGCUGUUCCUGUUGACUCUGCUGCGGAGCUUGCAAAGCUGGAGGACUUGUUUCUUCGGUCGCGCUCGCACUGAAGUAGUGCCUGACGGUUGAACGGUCUUGGCCCGCGACGACGCCCACGGCAUGCAGCAAACUAGAACUGCAACGGGCAAA